CCUCAUUUUAAAUCGGGCAAUUCCACGGAUGACUUUAUUUAGUUUCUAUAACCCCAUUCAAGGUCAUUUUUCUGAAGCCCCCUGUUAAGGCAAGGACAUGUGCACAUGAUCAUUAUGCAGUGACUUCAGUGGUCUCUACAGCCCACAGCUUUUGUGUAGCCUGUUCAGACAGGAGAAGAGGCUCUCAAAACAAUAGGAUCAUUUCCUGUAUAUCACAAAGCUGCUGAUCACAGACACAGUGUGGGUGCAAGGAAAAAAAGAAAAGGAAGGAUAGAGAAUCUAUCCAGCACACUAUGGGAACAGCUGUAGUGGCUUCACUCUCCUUAACAGGAAAAAACAACCAAAGGUUCACAACAAUGGACAGUUUGUCUUAGAGGAGACACAAAUGAACUGGUCAAGGUAUUCAUGUUUGGCACUUAUACUGCUGUUCAUGCAUUUAAUGAGAGCAUCUGUCAGCAUUCAACAGUUAACACCAUACUUUCUCUCUUUUAGUCUUUACUUUACCCUUCCCUAAGCAUUUCCUUGCAUUAGAUUCGCAAUAUCUUACCAAGU